rnacentral:tRNA from 1 species
GAGGGCAUAGCUCAGAUGGUAGAGCGCUCGCUUAGCAUGCGAGAGGUACUGGGAUCGAUACCCGGCGCCUCUA